AGCGAACGCUGGCGGCAGGCUUAACACAUGCAAGUCGAGCGGGCACUUCGGUGUCAGCGGCAGACGGGUGAGUAACACGUGGGAACGUACCCUUCGGUUCGGAAUAACGCUGGGCAACUAGCGCUAAUACCGGAUACGCCCUUUUGGGGAAAGGUUUACUGCCGAAGGAUCGGCCCGCGUCUGAUUAGCUAGUUGGUGGGGUAAUGGCCUACCAAGGCGACGAUCAGUAGCUGGUCUGAGAGGAUGAUCAGCCACACUGGGACUGAGACACGGCCCAGACUCCUGGGGGGGGCGGAAGUGGGGAAAUUUGAAAAAGGGGGGGAAGCCUGAGCCAGCCGAGCGGGGGGGGGUAUGGAGGCUUAAGGGUGGAAAAGCUUUUUUGACGGGGACGAUAAGGCGGGAACGGAAAAAAAAAGCCCGGGCUACCUUGGU
rnacentral:rRNA from 1 species